UACGGAGGAUGCGAGCGUUAUCCGGAUUUAUUGGGUUUAAAGGGUGCGCAGGCGGCCUGUUAAGUCAGCGGUAAAAGCCCAGGGCUCAACCCUGGGACUGCUUUUGAAACUGCCGGGCUGGAGUGCAGGAGAGGUAAGCGGAAUUCCUAGUGUAGCGGUGAAAUGCGUAGAUAUUAGGAGGAACACCAGUGGCGAAGGCGGCUUACUGGACUGUAACUGACGUUGAGGCUCGAAAGUGCGGGUAUCAAACAGG
rnacentral:rRNA from 1 species